rnacentral:rRNA from 1 species
GACAGAGGGUGCAAACGUUGUUCGGAAUUACUGGGCGUAAAGCGAGUGUAGGCGGUCUUUUAAGUCAGAUGUGAAAUCCCCGGGCUUAACCUGGGAACUGCGUUUGAAACUGGAAGGCUAGAGUGUGGCAGAGGGGGGUGGAAUUCCACGUGUAGCAGUGAAAUGCGUAGAGAUGUGGAGGAACACCGAUGGCGAAGGCAGCCCCCUGGGCUAACACUGACGCUCAUGCACGAAAGCGUGGGGAGCAAACAGG